AACGACAGGGCCGGGCUGCGUGCCCUGCUCAAAGAUGGCCGCCGGCGGCUUCGGCGUGCGCGGAGGUGGGAGGUGAGGGGCGGCCGGGCCGGGCUGCGGGAAGAUGGCAGAGAGCGAGCGGCGGACAGGCGCCUCUGAGGAGGUGCCUCCUCCUGUCCAGCAAUGCUUCAUGGUCCCCAAAAAGGAGAUAAAUGUGGUUUCCGACAUGGCCAAGUGGAAGCGAUCUCAGGCAUAUGCAGACUACAUGGGCUUCAUCCUCACUCUGAAUGAAGGCGUCAGGGGCAAGAAGCUGACCUGUGAAUACAAAGUUUCAGAGCCCAUUGAAAAGCUGGUGGCUCUGCUGAACACUCUCGACAGAUGGAUCGAUGAAACUCCGCCAGUAGAUCAACCUUCUCGCUUUGGGAACAAAGCCUUCAGGACCUGGUACGCCAAACUAGACCAGGAGGCAGAAAAGUUGGUGUCAGCAGUGAUUCCCAAGCAUUUGGCUGAUGCUGCCCCAGAAGUGGCUGUGUACUUGAAGGAAUCCGUGGGGAACUCCACCCGCAUUGACUAUGGCACAGGGCACGAAGCUGCAUUUGCAGCCUUUCUCUGCUGCCUCUGCAAAAUCGGUGUGCUCAGAGUGGAUGACCAGAUGGCCAUUGUCUUCAAAGUGUUUAACAGGUACCUGGAAGUGAUGCGAAAACUGCAGAAAACCUACAGGAUGGAACCUGCUGGCAGCCAGGGUGUGUGGGGCUUGGAUGACUUCCAAUUCCUGCCUUUCAUAUGGGGCAGUUCCCAGCUGAUAGACCAUCCAAGUCUGGAGCCUCGGCACUUUGUUGAUGAGAAGGUGGUAAAUGAAAACCAUAAGGACUUCAUGUUCCUGGAGUGCAUCCUCUUCAUUACAGAGAUGAAGACAGGCCCCUUUGCUGAGCACUCCAACCAGCUCUGGAACAUCAGCGCCGUGCCCUCCUGGUCCAAGGUCAACCAGGGCCUCAUCCGCAUGUACAAGGCAGAGGGGGGAUUCUGCAGUUCUCAGUGUUUGUGGAGUGAAAGACAUCAGCUUGAGCAAGGAGAGUGGUGAGGGAGAAAGCUGCUGACAGACAUGCUGCUUCUGCUCAUGCUCCAGGCCUCCCCAUACUGAGUUUCAUGCCUGGAGAAGUUUCCUGUGAUCCAGCACUUUAAGUUUGGCAGCCUGCUCCCCAUCCAGCCUGUGACAUCUUAAGGAGCCCGCAGGAGGAGCCGAGGCAGCGGAGGCACAGCACGGCGCUCUUCCUCCUCCCCUCACCCCUCCUCACCACCCAGCCCAUCCUUUCCUGCACAUCCUCAUCGGCAACCACAGAUCCAAAGCACUCGCCGGCCUGGCACGGGAGAUGGGACCUGGAGCAGCUCCUCCUGCACGUCCUCGCCCUGGGGACGUCUCGCCAGCGGCCGAGCCGGGGCCGUGCUGCUCCGCUGUGCCGCAUCCCUGCUGGAAUGGGGACGGGUCUGAGCAGGGGCUGCCCUGCAGAAAAGGCCCUCUGCUGUGCUUCCCAAGAGAAAGGGGUGUGGAGGGGAGGAAGGCACGUGUGUAUGUGUUGGGUGGUGGUAACUGCAAUUUCCCUUUUGAAUUUCAUUGGCGUUUCCUGUUGCUGUUUGCUUUGGGAAAUGACUGAGACUGCGCGGGGCGAGAUGUGAGCCUGUGUGUGUCUGUAUCAGCCAGCUCUGCCUGCACUGGAGAUCUGAACUGGGAAAAGGGAGUUCUAGGGAGUGUCUGUGGGUUGUGGAAGCCCAGGGUACUGUCUCUCCCUUUUUCUGGGUAAGGAAAGCGCCCUCUCUCCACCUCUUCUGCAAGGUUUCCUGGGUCUUCCUUUCCCACUAGCACCUCUUCUCUUGGGUGAAUCUGGGAACCUUCUGGGCUGUGGGCUUCUGAGCUGGCUCUGGAGCUGGAGCUGGGUCUGUGGAGGCACACAGCCCUGUGGGAACAGCUAUGCAAAGACACUGCUCAGGCCCCCUCUUAGCUGGCACAAGCCCUGACACAUUCACACACAUCCAUAACUGGGUCCAACCUGCCCUCUGCAAUCCCCGUGCUUUGCUGCUCUGGGGCUGGGCUGGCCUCAGGGGCACAAGGUGACCGUGGUUGCUCCUGCUUGGUCAUAAAUUGUAGUGACACCCCCAUAGCAAAGGGAUUUCCCCACAAAGCAGCACAAUCCCCAGCUCUUCGAGGGGGCCAUCCCUGGAGCACAGGCAGCAUGAGGGGGCCGCAUGUGGUUUCUCAUUAAUUUAUAUACUCGCACUGGAAACAAAAAGCAUAAGUAGCCCAGGACAGCAGGUUAUACCCAGAGAAAGCUCCUUCCCUUUGUUCUUCCCUGCUGGUGUUGCUGUGCUGGACCUCAGGCAGGGGAACCACACUUGCAGUGCCACCAGCAGCACUGUGUUGAAGACAGGUGGUCUGGAUCACACCAGCCGUUUCACUGGAGGACAGAAAGGGCUGGUGCUGUUUUUGAGAUGAGCUGUCUGUCCACAGGUCAUGACCAAGCUGGUGCACAGCUUUGCUGCUGCACUGGGGGUGUUUCUUCUUGAGGUUCUGGGCUGGGUGUGGCAGGGACAGACUGGACUGGUGUUUGCUGGGAUCAGGAGCAGCAGGACUCCUUCCUCUUGGCAUUCCUGCAGACCAUGAAGGGGCUGCCCCCAGCCAGGCUGCUCAGCUUUUGCUGCUGCACUGCUUUACUGCUGGGGUGGGAGAAGGAAACAUUGUUGUGAUUUUUUUUUUUCUUUUUUUUAAAAUUAUUUUUUCAUUAUUUUUAACAGACCUACUCACUCCCUCUUGUAAAGGUUCUUGCAGGCACUCAGGGGAAGGAGAGUAAGAAAAGAGUCUAAGUUAUGAGGUGGUGAAAUGUCCACAGAGCAGAAGCAGAGCUUUCUGGCACUGUUGCUGUCCUGUCUGCUCCUGGCUUGGCCCUGGGCAGGGGGUGGGGGACAAGGAGCUUUUGACCUGCCUGAAACAACUCUAUAAACUUGUAUUUUAAAUGAAAAUGGAAGACUGGGGUUAAGUCUUGUUUUACUCCUAAAUGGAAUGUGUUUUGUCUUUGCUUCCCAAAUGGAUCCACUCCUGGAAUGUUGCUGGAGAUCUGUGUCCUUGCUGGGACUCAUGAGUCCAUCUUCAGUGGAGCAGCCUGUGCCUGGAGCAGAGACUCACGGUGUCUCCACCUGUGUCCCCUCACGUUGCUGUGUCUUUUGGCAGGUGUCCCCAUACUUCAAAUGAUUGUGCAGCAUCUGGCCAGCAGUGGCUGAGCAAAAGCCCCUGGUUUUCUUUAUCUGCCUGAGAGUCAGGAAAACAUCCCUCCAGGUUGUCUCGUGGAAAUGAGGCUUCCGUGCAAAAGGAUGGGUGGAAAUUAUGACAUUGAUACAUGGGAGGGACUCCAGGAAAGUGGAAUACAGCACCAAAAAAGGGUGGAGAGGCGCUUCCUUCCCCUGCAGCUGCAGCAUUGCUCCCUGGGACAGUGUCCCUGGGCUUGGGACCUGUGGAGGCGGUGGGAGGAGGCUCACGCACAGCUUUGUGUUUGUUGUUUGCCAGAGCCUGCACAUCUGUCCUGCUGGGAAUUUUGGGAUGUCAAGCAGCUAAUUUUCGUUUGAGUCUUAUCAGCCUGCUUGGGACGUGCCCCUGUCACGUGGCAGCCACUUGCUUUGCCUCCCUCCUGCUCCCAGUGACAUUCCCCAGGGCUCGUGGCAGCACCCAGGGCUGCUCUGUGCCCGAAGCAGCACUUCCCACCUCCCCCCAUGUUGUAGGUUUAAUUAAAGAUUCUGUGUUUUGCACUGGUGACUGUGUUGGUCUCUAGACUGGGUUUGCUCCUGCUUUGGGAGCAGAGCCAGCAAAGCCAGUGGCCGGAGCCUUCGGCACAGGGAAGAGGCCUGGUGGACGCACUUGCCGUGUCGGUGGUUGACCUCGUGCUUGCACUAAAAUUGAUUCUUUAUUUAACUGCAUGAUCAAGUACAUCUGGUCUGUCUUUGUGUCCUUCCAAGGUGUCUUUCUGUUGUAUUAUGUGGUUUAUUUAUUAACUUUUUUGCUGUGUCCGCCACCCAACCCAUCUGACGUUCGGCAGGUAGGUGAUGUGCAAAGCCUGAUCCCAGGCCAGCAAACCUCUUGAAGAUCAGAGACUCUUAAAACCAAAGGAUGUUUGAGCCUUGUUUCUAAGGCACGUCGAGAACUGGAACCUUUUCCUUCAGAUGUUUUUCUUGUCCUGCUGUAGGAGCUGACUCAGGACUUCCAGCAUCAGUGUAGUUCAGCAGCUUUGUUGGACUUAUAAUAGACCUGGAUUAAAUUAAACCUAGACCUUCUCACAAAUGGUUGGAGGUAGUGUAGCUGUGCUUUGCAAAUGCUCCUUUUCUUGUCUCUGGGUUACAUCUCCUCCAUCAACAGAGGCCAACUGUGUGAGCGUGUGUUGCUAAAAGCAGCAGCAGUGUGGAGGGGUGGAUGGUGAGCAGAAAUGUCAUCUUGGAUCACAGAUGUUUUCUUUGAAGGCACUUGGAUUUGUCUUGAGCCUGUCCCUUGGUGAACAUGACGUGCAAUGAAGGGGAAGCAGACGUAGCUUGGGUUUCUGGCCAUCUUCCCCCUCAGCCCACUGACCAAGCCAUUUUUUUUUAAAAUUUAGUUUUCAGAGCUGGAUCUUUGGGGUUGCCAUAUGUAGGCCAGUUCAUGUUGCUAUUUAACAGCUGUUGCCUUUGCAUGGGGUGCGUUUUGUGAGUCGCUGUCAGCCUUGCCCUGUCUCUUCCUUCACAGCCCUCCUUUAUAAAUAAUGGCUUAUGGCAGCCAGUGAUGAAGUAAGAGUUGAGAGAAGCAGCCUCGUGGAGAUAGAAGUAACAGAAUAAAAAAUAGAAGUACUUCAUGUCAUUGUUGCUGUAUUAACUUGUCCCUGGUGUGUGGCUCAGUUCCACUGUGCAGUGCUGGGAUUCUGUGAGUGGAUGAACAAAGCUGCCCCCACAGCAGGACCCACAAAAUCUGAGCGGGCACUUGCCAAGAUGAAGGUGCACUUUGUGCCCCAAGGACCUGGUGCUGAACCACACAAGAGCCCUGGACUCUGCACUGUGUCCCUGCAGCUGCCCUGAGAGAGGGAAGGAGGCAGAAAUGGGUUGGAGGAGGUGAAACUGGUUGUUAAUGAUAACUGCUAAAGUAACCUGAACUCUCCCGCUGCCAGCGUGCUGGUGGAAACCUUGUACAGUUGAGAAGCUCACAAGAAUCUUCUUGCUACUUGAACAAGGACUCCCCUGGCUCAGAGGUAGAAUUUAACAGGGCUUUUGGAGGUCAUUUCAUGCUCUAAUAUCCAAGAGGAGAUACCUUCAUCAUUUAACUUUGCUUCCCCUUCAGUGGAUGAGCACUCUUGCCAUUGGCGUUGGAGAAAACUCCUUGAACAUCCUGGGGGCACACAGGGUCUUGUAAAAUUGUGCCAAACUUCAAACUAGGGCGAGCCAAAUUGAAAAAGGGCUGUCUGCACAUCAGAUUCAGUGAGGGCUGAACCGUGACGGGCAUCAUCAGCUUGGAGACAGGCUUGUUCUGAGGAGCACAGGGCUGUAAGCAGGUUUUGGAGGUUAGAAAAGGCCUUUCAGGGGGUGGAGUGGUUGCUUCUGCUUGCUAUAAAAAGCCUGGGCUUGGGAAUGUCUACAUGGGCCAGCUCUAUGCAGGGCAUUAAUGCAGUUGUCGCUAAAAUUGGAACGAGUCCCUCCCCAUGUUCCCAGUUGCAACUGUAACACGGAUAAUAAAUAACAUCAAAAUCCUG